GGGUAUAGCUCAGUGGUAGAGUGCAUGCUUAGCACGCACGAGGUCCUGGGUUCAAUCCCCAGUACCUCCA
rnacentral:tRNA from 1 species